GACGAACGCUGGCGGCGUGCUUAACACAUGCAAGUCGAACGGACAGACAGAGAGCUUGCUCUCUUGAAGUUAGUGGCGAACGGGUGAGUAACGCGUAAUCAACCUGCCCUUCAGAGGGGGAUAACAACGGGAAACCGUUGCUAAUACCGCGUACGAUUCAUGAACGGCAUCGUUUAUGAAUGAAAGGUGGCCUCUAUGUAUAAGCUAUCGCUGAAGGAGGGGAUUGCGUCUGAUUAGCUAGGUGGAGGGGUAACGGCCCACCAAGGCAAUGAUCAGUAGCCGGUCUGAGAGGAUGAACGGCCACAUUGGGACUGAGACACGGCCCAAACUCCUACGGGAGGCAGCAGUGGGGGAUCUUCCGCAAUGGACGAAAGUCUGACAGAGCAACGCCGCGUGAGUGAUGAAGGUCUUCGGAUUGUAAAGCUCUGUUAAUCGGGACGAAAGAGUUCUGCGUGAAUAAUGCAGAAAAGUGACGGUACCGGAAUAGAAAGCCACGGCUAACUACGUGCCAGCCGCCGCAGUAA
rnacentral:rRNA from 1 species